rnacentral:rRNA from 1 species
GACGAACGCUGGCGGCGUGCCUAAUACAUGCAAGUAGAACGCUGAAGGAGGAGCUUGCUCUUCUGGAUGAGUUGCGAACGGGUGAGUAACGCGUAGGUAACCUGCCUGGUAGCGGGGGAUAACUAUUGGAAACGAUAGCUAAUACCGCAUAACAGUAGAUGUUGCAUGACAUUUACUUAAAAGGUGCAAUUGCAUCACCACCAGAUGGACCUGCGUUGUAUUAGCUAGUUGGUGGGGUAACGGCUCACCAAGGCGACGAUACAUAGCCGACCUGAGAGGGUGAUCGGCCACACUGGGACUGAGACACGGCCCAGACUCCUACGGGAGGCAGCAGUAGGGAAUCUUCGGCAAUGGACGGAAGUCUGACCGAGCAACGCCGCGUGAGUGAAGAAGGUUUUCGGAUCGUAAAGCUCUGUUGUAAGAGAAGAACGAGUGUGAGAGUGGAAAGUUCACACUGUGACGGUAUCUUACCAGAAAGGGACGGCUAACUACGUG